GACGUAGGGCGCGAGCGUUGUCCGGAUUUAUUGGGCGUAAAGAGCUCGUAGGCGGCUUGUCGCGUCGUUCGUGAAAACCUGCAGCUCAACUGCAGGCUUGCGGUCGAUACGGGCAGGCUAGAGUUCGGUAGGGGAGACUGGAAUUCCUGGUGUAGCGGUGAAAUGCGCAGAUAUCAGGAGGAACACCGGUGGCGAAGGCGGCCGACUGGGCCGAUCCUGACGCUGAGACCCGAAAGCCAGGGUAGCGAACCGG
rnacentral:rRNA from 1 species